GCCAUUCUCCUGCCUCAGGCUCCCGAGUAGCUCGGACUACAGGCGCCCACCACCAUCAACAUCUUAAACUAUCUUAAAAGAAACUUUAAAAGUUUCAAAUUGUUAGCCUCAGUGGGCUAAAUCAUGAAGGUGCCUUCAUGGGUAAAGCAACUUAGUUCUCUUAAAGACACAGGACCAACAUGCAGGAGACUCAGACAGUUGUAGGUGCCUGAGAGUAACAGCAGCAAGCCAGCAACUCUCCAAAAGCAGUCGCUAAUUAAUAAGUGCAGGCACUCAGAAGCCUCGCUGUCCCCUCUCUGAAGACAGAUGGCAACGGCACCCUGGCCCUUCCUACCUAACUCCAGCUGCUCUUCCAUUUCUCUCAAUAAAGUGAAGAAAUUCCUUUUGAAUUUUUCUGUACAGAUUCUAACAGGAAAGAAAAAUGGGAGCUGGAUGAAGAGCUGAUUAUUCUAUAUAA
rnacentral:lncRNA from 10 species